rnacentral:lncRNA from 1 species
CUUUCAACUCCUCUAUUUACUGGAACACAGACAAUGAUUCACUUGAUCACAACUAAAGGUCAGUUCAUAUUCUUAACAAUUCUCUGCAACUAAGCCAAAAAUCUGUUGAUUUUUAUCUCAUAUAAUGAAAAUACAACGUGAAGAUGCCGAGUGAGGGUGGAAUCAACAGCUUACAACCAGAAAAGCUAAGCUAAUGACAGAUCUGAAGAAGUGUCAACACUGCAACCAAAAAAGCUUGAAGCAGCAGGAAUGUCGUUCACAGGGGAGAUUGGAGUCAUAGCAAAUACACUUUUCAAGGUUGCUUACUCCUGACUAAAGGCAUGUAGUUUUCAGCAAGAAAAGCCAAAAUCUUGGCAGCGAUGCUCUCCAGAUGAGUCCCAUGCCUACUCUAAGCAGCAUCAGGUGAGCUACCUCCAGUCUCAGAGUCAAAAAAGUGAAAAAAAGGACAAAUCAACAUUAACUCCCUAUGGAGAUAAAACACCAACAAGAUGUUUUGGAAAAAAAUGAAGAUAUUAAAACACACAAUACAUUGUGGUAAACUUACCUAGAACAAGAAGUGUUCAAGCAUGUCCUCACUGCCCAGAUUUCUUUGGAAAAGAGCCUUAACCCUCACUUUGUACUAAGAAACUGAGAACAGCAGGAGCCCCAGUGUCUUCUCUCUGGGCCACAACUGCCUGAAAGCACGGUGAAUAUAUAGAUGGCUAUUUCAACGGUGAUUAACCCAUACAAAACCCACUCAAAGCAGAGAACUCUAAGUCUCUUUACUUGGCUGUGAUAGUAGCAGAGUGCUGAGAACCAAGCAGGAUCAUGUCCAUAGCUCAGUUCAAAAAAAUGUGCCAGAUUAAUAGGCAUAAUCAAGA